AGCCACUCUGGCUGGAGUCUGGGGGCGGAAGCGAGUCAGGGCUCAAGGCUCCUCCUGCUCUGUUCACUCCUGGGUCCCCUUGAGUGUCUGGUUCCUGCCGGUUUUCCCAGGAGACCCCAGGCCAGCUGCAGGAGGCCGGGGUUGGACCUUCCAUCCAGCUGAGUCCACUCACCUCCAAGAGCUCUGAUCAGGGCCCUCUGGGUGCUGCUGUCCACACAAGGCCGGCUCUGUCUCUGCCUCCCUGCCCCACUCGGGGAGGGUUGGGUCAUGGUAGGGAGGCCCUGGGGUGCUCAGAGCGUCUGGGCAGCAGGAGUACAUCGCUUCCAAGAAGGAUCAGUUUCCCAACGCUGAGGCCAACACUGUCUGGAGCCCUGAGGAGGGCCCCAGGUGGCAGAUACCAGGACGGGUGCAGCCUCUGCCACCCUCACCUCCCCAAAGCAUCCGGUCUCAGGCACAGGGAAUUGUAGCCGAGGGCCAGGGUCCCAGGAGGAUCAAAGGUGGGACCUUCCAGGGUGGUCUCCUGUGACCGUCACUGCUUUCAAACCACCAGGGGCAGCGCGUCUGCCCCCACAGCCUGUGCCACCAGGAGAGACCAGGCCAUCCAUCUGGGUUUAAUUUGGAAAUUAGGCAGUGUUCAAGUUCCAUUAUGUGGCAGAAUUAGCCGCAGAAGCCAAGGCAGCGUCACGCGUGGAGAAUGAGCUAUGGCUUCGUUAAUCAGGGGAGACAGCGCUGGGAACCAGGAGGCCGGCGAGGUCACCAGAGGAAGGAGGGGCUGCAGCCGCCGUGGGGUGCCAGACACCUGGGCCCCACCUCGCCGCCAUCUGCCCUCAUAAACCCGGGUCUGGUGGGCUCCCAGCUCUGGCCGGCCCAUUCCAGGCCAGACACCUGCCUCACUGCCAGCUGCCCCGAGAAACCCUAAUGUGGUGGGCUCCCAGCUCCAGUUCCCAGCUCCAGCCGGUCCGUCUCCGGGACACUCCCGGGUAUGGGUGUUUGUUCUCUACCCUGCUCCUCUGCCCGAAGCCGGUCUCCCUCCUCAGACCUGACUCCAUUCCAGGAACCCCCAUGAAAGGGGCAGGUGCUUGCUGGGACCACCUGCUCACAAUGCUCCUGCCCACGGAACACACGAACAAUUGUGGGCUCAAACCCUUCACCGUCUCCCAUCCUCACCUCUGAAGUGCAAAACCUGCUUUAGGGCAGUGGGGCCAGGACACCCCCUUCUUGGGUGGUCUCACGUCCUCAGGAGACUUUGCUCUGGGGGGAGGCGGGGUCUCAGGUGCAGGAGAGGAGCUGGUGGCGGUUCAGGACUGAAGAGACUCAUGGUACCUGCUGGUUUUCCAGGACAAGAAGGACAUCCCGGGAAGAACACAUGGGGUACGAAACGCAGGACAAGGACUUCCGGGGGAGAGCAUGCGGGGCCCCACACGCCAUGGGCAGCUCACCAGGAUGGGUUGGGGCGUGCAGGCCUGGCGGGGAGGGGUCUUGGCAGCGGCGGGGGGCGGCCCAGGCUUCAGGGGUUCUCCCUGCUCCUUUGAGGACACGUUGACCAUGGUGGGGGGCAAAGAGAACUGCCCCGGAGGCACCGUCCCAGCCGGAGCCCCUUCCUGUGCUCAGGAGCCUCACAGUCCAAUAUAGAAGACGUCGUGUUCAAUUAUUCUGCGACAAAAGCCAGGGGUUUUCACAAUUCCACACCCCAUUAGCCGAUAAUUCAGCACAGUCUCUCAUCUAAUGUGACUAUAUUUUAUACAAAUUAUUUCGGACAAGAAUUCAGUCCUUAAUAACAUUG
rnacentral:lncRNA from 1 species